rnacentral:rRNA from 1 species
AGCGAACGCUGGCGGCAGGCCUAACACAUGCAAGUCGAACGAACUCUUCGGAGUUAGUGGCGGACGGGUGAGUAACACGUGGGAACGUGCCUUUUGGUUCGGAAUAACACAGGGAAACUUGUGCUAAUACCGAAUGUGGCCCUCGGGGGAAAGAUUUAUCGCCAUUAGAGCGGCCCGCGUUUGAUUAGCUAGUUGGUGAGGUAACGGCUCACCAAGGCGACGAUCAGUAGCUGGUCUGAGAGGAUGACCAGCCACACUGGGACUGAGACACGGCCCAGACUCCUACGGGAGGCAGCAGUGGGGAAUCUUGCGCAAUGAGCGAAAGCCUGACCCAGCCAUGCCGCGUGAAUGAUGAAGGUCUUAGGAUUGUAAAAUUCUUUCACCAGGGACGAUAAUGACGGUACCCGGAGAAGAAGCCCCGGCUAACUUCGUG